rnacentral:rRNA from 1 species
GACAGAGGCCUCGAGCGUUAGGCGGAAUCACUGGGCUUAAAGCGCGUGUAGGCGGACCGUUAAGUACCUUGUGAAAUCCCACGGCUCAACCGUGGAACUGCUGGGUAUACUGGCGGUCUUGGGCCAUCCAGGGGUCGCCGGAACAAGCGGUGGAGCGGUGAAAUGCGUAGAUAUCGCUUGGAACGCCAAAGGUGAAGACAGGUGACUGGGGAUGUGCCGACGCUGAGACGCGAAAGCCAGGGGAGCGAACGGG